GUGCCCGUGGUGUAACGGUUAGCACGGAAGCUUGUGGAGCUUCUAGUCAGGGUUCAAAUCCCUGCGGGCACC
rnacentral:tRNA from 1 species